UGUGUUAAAUAUAGAUUUAAUAAAAUACAAAUAUGUUUGCAAUGUAUUGACUAUACCGCAGCAUUAUCUAUUUACUGCAUGUUCUAUUAUUGAAUUCAUUAUUCAUGUAUCUACAAUCACCAUCUUUGUUACAUUUAGUUCCAAGUACGAAGUCCUCAAGAUCUGAAACUUCGUAUUUCAUUGAGAGACAAUAAAAAUCGUUUGUUUGAUAAAUUUACGUCACUUGAAAUGAUUUGGACAAGCAGCAGCUAUGAUAUGGCUUCAUAUUGUUGCUUAAACAAACAUCUUUCUCCAAGUAUACACGCCAUACAUACGAGACCAUUAUGUCCGGAACGUAAAGCAAGAAGUUCUGUGUUUAAACAAGAUAAUGGUACAGCACGAACAAUAGGUCUGUGACCAAAAUGCGAGACGUGUUAAGAAGAUAAUGACAGACGUUACAUCAAAUAUUACGGUUGAUUGAGCAAUCCACUCUUCCCUCUCCAAUAGAUUUGUUUGUGCUUAGCUUGAACUGUUUCAUGAAAGAACAAGUGCACUUAUGAUAAACGUAUGGAACGGAUCGUACACACAGGAAUGAUACUUUCAGCAAUAACUGUUGAAACAACUUUCCAAGUCUGAAUCGUGCUUACCGUUUUAUGGAUUUUUUUAUCAUCAGGCUGUAAACCUUUCUUGUUAAAAUUAUCCUUCAGUGUUUUGUAGGUUUCGUGCACUGUUUGAUUAGUUUUGUAUCUUUUCUAACCGCAUGUAGAAGUUUCGUGUCGAAUUUUUGUGAAACUGAUUUGAUAUUUUGAAACUGAUAAA